AUUUUAGGGGGAAAUAAUUAUAAAUUGUACGAGAAUGAGGCAUUUUAGGGGAAAAACACAUUAUGGAGUAAUGAGAUUGAGGUUGUUAAGGGAAGAACAUGGCAUUUUGCAUAUAUCUAGGCCUCCAAUAUCCCUUUUGUUUUUGUAAAUAUCAUAGGAAUAGAUAUUUUCACUUUUCACCAAAUAAUAAAAUAUGUUCAACACGGCACUAUGCCAAAAUAAAGAUCUUGAACGUGAUUUUGGAUUCGGCUUUUCAAAAACGAUUUUAUGUAACGAAAUAGGAUACUAUGUGUAAAUUGUUUCGUCUUUGCAAUAUUAUGAUUUUUUUACGUGACUUAUUUCAUGAAAUGCUAAUUGACUUGCAGGUCCCUAUGAAAUGAAAUGUGAGAUCGCCUUCGGGUCUUCUCAAAUGUGUCAGAGCUUUCGAUUGUUCACCGAUUGCUCUUGAUGAAAUGAUGCUAGGUCGUGGAUGGUGGCUGAGCGGUGUGAGGGUUGCCAAGUAAAUAAUUUUUCAAGAAAAUAUUUUAAAAUAAUUCUAUUAGGAUAUUAUGUGUUUCGUUUUAAUUCCGUUUAAUGUUUUAUGUUACGUGACAUUUUUAUUAUUAUUCAGUAUCUGAGUAUUAAAUGAAUUAGGAGUUUUAACCUUUCAA